rnacentral:rRNA from 1 species
CACAGCCGCGGGAAUACGUAGGGUGCGAGCGUUAAUCGGAAUUACUGGGCGUAAAGCGUGCGCAGGCGGUUCGUUAAGACAGAUGUGAAAUCCCCGGGCUUAACCUGGGAACUGCAUUUGUGACUGGCGAGCUAGAGUAUGGCAGAGGGGGGUAGAAUUCCACGUGUAGCAGUGAAAUGCGUAGAGAUGUGGAGGAAUACCGAUGGCGAAGGCAGCCCCCUGGGCCAAUACUGACGCUCAUGCACGAAAGCGUGGGGAGCAAACAGGAUUAGAUACCCCCGUAGUCCCUGUCUCUUAUACA